AUUUAUAUAAUAUAAAAAGUAUAUUUGACUUCCAAUCAAAGAGUCUAUUAUUAAUUAGUAUAAAUA
rnacentral:tRNA from 1 species